UCCCUUGUGAAGUGUCGUGCUCAGUUGAGGAGAACAACUUUUUGGAGUAGAGGAGGACCAUUCUUUGGUCUAGAUUAUAUGAAUAGCAGGGAUCCCUGAUGGAACCUCUACCCAAGCUCUUAACACCUUAAAAAUGGAUUCCAAAAUUAUUUC
rnacentral:sRNA from 1 species